UAUAAUAAAUCUUUUCAUUUCAUUUGUUUUUGUUGCAGUUCCUCCAUUGCUCUGCUAAGGGCCAGUUGUUCAAUUAUUUAAUCCGUGAAUCAGCAACUUUCAUCUUCUGAAAUCGGUAGUAAAGCAGAGGUUUAGCACUGGUUCAAGGUCCAUAUAUGUAAAAAUAGCCACAUCCAUGCUUGAACCGAAAUCGACCCGCAGCUAAUCCGCCGAAAUCGGCGAUUUAAAUACCUGAACCAAGGCUGAUCCACGUUUUUACAACUGGCACUAAAAAUGGCUGGCAGGCUGGUUGGUUGUUUGGAAGAACAGUGUACCAGGGUGGUUUUUGAGAUUUUUGUUUUUUUUCAGCGAGGCAGAUUGCUGCUGCGACGCCACUAUACGUAUACUUUUUAAUUAAUUCGUUUAGUAGUGAUCUCCAACUGUCUAAAACUCUUUGUUUGAAUAUAAUUGAAAGCACCAUCAAUUAGAAUUUAAGGUUUUAAAUUUGCGUUGAAUGCGUUGAACGCUAGGUGUACGACGGGCAUUAGUUGUACAAAGCAUGCAUUGCACCAAGCGUAUGUAUUCACCUUAGAGGAUAUAAUAUAUGGAGUGCUUGUUCCUAUACCUAAUACAUUGUAACGCCAUAUGCAUGGAUAGGGGUCGCUGCUGACGCUGAUUAUCUUUCAUCUCUUUCUUUCUUCGUUUUUCAAUGCGAGUCCGGUUCCGCAGCUGUCAAGUGUCAAUCGUGAUUCGUAGUAUUUUUUCUGUAUUUUUUCUUUGAAUUUGUUUCUUGAAAGCUUUUAAUUAUUAAAAAUAGUUUAAACAAUUUAACCAAUCUGUUAAUUAAAACAUUAUAAAUUCCUAUGAAAUAUGGAUGGACCACAACCACCAAGAGAUUAUAUCUAGCCUUCGAUAAAAACAACUUUAAUAAUCCAAACUUUAUAUAUAAACUCUACGAUCAUAGAUCCCAUCGAAGAACCUUAAUAAUGAAUUUGAUGAUACAAUUUGAAAGCGGCGAAUAUGAAACCACUUCCAUCUUCUUUGCAAAGAUUUUCCACUCGUGCCACUCGUGGUGGCUUCUCUUAACUUGCGCAGUAUUUGCCAACAGUUUACCCAGGCAGUUCUGGUCGAAAGAGUCCAACAAUGUUGAGAGCUAAGGAGAAAAGUCCCCCAACAACUGAUUGGGUUAAAUUGGAGCCCAAAGAAGAAAACUAUGAAGAUUUGGAAGAUCCUAUAACUGAAACAUCUACAUUCAUUUGCUGCGUUUGGCUUGUUCUUGCCUAUUCAGAUGUUUUGCUUCGGGAUAAACUGAGAGCUUAAACUUUAUUGAAAAUUGUCUUGGGUGUCACUGGAGAUGGUGAAGACAAUGACAUUUAUAGCUUAUCAUUCCCACCAUCACUUCCAACAUUACCGUUUGAAGUAUUUCGACAACUUUUAGAUAGUUCAGCACUCAACAGAUGAUGGUAUGCUAUUAAGAAGAAUGAUUGUAGAAGUUGGCGCCAUGCUUUUUGUACAUGAUAUUUUCACAUAUUAAUUUCAAAAUUAUCAAAUAAAUGGACCACAGCCAGAGGUUAGAUUUAAUUGUUUCGAAUAUCUACACAUCUACAUGCUAUUAAGAAGAAUGAUUGUAGAAGUUGGCGCCAUGCUUUUUGUACAUGAUAUUUUCACAUAUUAAUCUCAAAAUUAUCAAAUAAAUGGACCACAGCCAGAGACUGCUGCUGGUGUAAAAACUUCGAUGAAUAGCAUAGAUGAUUCCGGCGUUAUCAUAUCUGACGAUAAUAGUCAUAUGCUAAAGGCACUGGAUUUGGAACAGGAUCUACUCAACAAUCUUGGAAUGUCAAACAAGCUUUGUUACGUCAAAAAAGUAAAGAAGAACAUGUAACAGUGCUUUUACAGAUAUUCCAUAGACUUUUGUUUUUAUUUUGAUUCUAAACAUCUUUAAAAUGCAUUUAAAAAUUCGGUUGCAAGUAUGUUUAAUGUUGCAUAUUUUUCGUAGGUUCUUGUAUCAAUUCAGUCUCUUAUUCUGGUUCCUGAACCAUACUUCAAUGAGCCAGACUUUGAAAGAAAUCGAGGUACUCCAAGUGGAACACAUUCAUCUCGAAAGUAUAAUAGCAACAUUUACAAGGCGUGUGUUCGUUGGGCUAUUCUUGAACAAAUACGAAAUCCAAGUCCAUGUUUCAAAGUGGUAAAUACUUUUUAGUCUAAUUUGAAAGUAGAAAAAAAAGCUUAGCAAUUUUUCCAGGUCAUUCAUACACACUUUUGGUUAAAACUAUUUGUCAAGUUUUGCAUCAAUGUUUGAAUAGGCCUGGUGCGCAGAUUGAGCUAAAUUUUAGCGGAGAUAAAAUUUCCAUACAAGUUAUCGAAAAUUUUUAUGGGAUUAAUUUUAGCUCGGCUAAAAUUAUUCGAUAAUUUGUAUGUAGGCUAAAAUUUAUCUAGAGCUGCGUACCAGGCUAUAAGGAGCACUAUCUAAACUGAUAAGUCUUAUAAAAUUAACUUAACUAUAGUGUUUUUCUAAAUGGCUCAUUGAAGGGUAUCCGUAUCAUCUCCAAAUGAUUAAAAAAAAUUUUUUUCUAAAAUUAUAUCAUUGUAGCAAAAAUUUAAAAAACAACAAUAAAUAACUAUAUUACAUAACUUUAACAAAAAAUCUUUGUUC